rnacentral:lncRNA from 1 species
GCUAGAAUACUAUCGAUAUCAAACCGGUACUUUUGCCACCCAUUUAUUUUCGAUGAUAGAGCCUCCAAAUCGACGAUCGGCACCAUUCAACAUGAUCUAUACCACUUGAAGUGUUUAGAAAUCAAAUUUCAAAUCUUUUCGACAUCAUUUGCCUAAUGAUCAAAGGGUUUCAAAAUUUGUAAUUUUAAUGGUUGAUAUGAGGCGUUUUCUCGUUUAACGGCGUAAAGAUAUCCAAAUCAAUUGAAUUUUUGUUAGAAAAUUCUUUAAACUAUUUAAAACAAGAUCUAUACUCUUGAUCUUGAUUACAAGACUCCUAUCAUCAUUUUUUUAAGAAUAUUCAUUUUCAGCCGUUCAUUUUUGUGUCUACUCGAUGGAUAAGAGAACAAUAUCGAAAAUAUAUGAAAUUUGAUUUCUAAAUACUUUAAAUGGUAUAGAUCAUAUUCAACGGUGUCGAUUAUCAAUUUGAAGGCUCCAUCAUCGAAAACAAAUGGGUGGCAAAAAUACCGGCUUGCUAUCGAAAGUAUUCUAGCUCAACUCUAUAUAUAUAUAAAGAGGAAGGUCCAUCGUGGACCUCCCUCU